rnacentral:rRNA from 1 species
AGUGAACGCUGGCGGUAGGCCUAGCACAUGCAAGUCGAACGGCAGCACAGUAAGAGCUUGCUCUUACGGGUGGCGAGUGGCGGACGGGUGAGGAAUACAUCGGAAUCUACUUUUUCGUGGGGGAUAACGUAGGGAAACUUACGCUAAUACCGCAUACGACCUACGGGUGAAAGCAGGGGAUCUUCGGACCUUGCGCGAUUGAAUGAGCCGAUGUCGGAUUAGCUAGUUGGCGGGGUAAAGGCCCACCAAGGCGACGAUCCGUAGCUGGUCUGAGAGGAUGAUCAGCCACACUGGAACUGAGACACGGUCCAGACUCCUACGGGAGGCAGCAGUGGGGAAUAUUGGACAAUGGGCGCAAGCCUGAUCCAGCCAUACCGCGCGGGUGAAGAAGGCCUUCGGGUUGUAAAGCCCUUUUGUUGGGAAAGAAAAGCAGCAGGUUAAUACCCCGCUGUUCUGACGGUACCCAAAGAAUAAGCACCGGCUAACUUCGUG